rnacentral:rRNA from 1 species
AGGACGAACGCUAGCGGCAGGCCUAAUACAUGCAAGUCGAACGGUAACAUGAGAGCUUGCUCUUGAUGACGAGUGGCGCACGGGUGCGUAACGCGUAUGCAAUCUACCCCAAACUGGGGGAUAGCCCGAAGAAAUUCGGAUUAAUACCCCAUAAUAAGAAGAAUUCGCAUGUUUUCUUCUUUAAAACUCCGGUGGUUUGGGAUGAGCAUGCGUAACAUUAGCUUGUUGGUAAGGUAACGGCUUACCAAGGCUACGAUGUUUAGGGGGUCUGAGAGGAUGAUCCCCCACACUGGCACUGAGAUACGGGCCAGACUCCUACGGGAGGCAGCAGUAGGGAAUAUUGGACAAUGGACGAAAGUCUGAUCCAGCCAUGCCGCGUGCAGGAAGACGGCCUUCUGGGUUGUAAACUGCUUUUAUAUAGGAAGAAAAAGAUUCUGCGGAAUCAAUUGACGGUACUAUAAGAAUAAGCACCGGCUAACUCCGUGCCAGCAGCCGCGGUAAUACGGAGGGUGCAAGCGUUGUCCGGAUUUACUGGGUUUAAAGGGUGCGUAGGCGGCUUUUUAAGUCAGUGGUGAAAGCCCGCAGCUUAACUGCGGAACUGCCAUUGAUACUGAAAGGCUUGAGUAUGUUCGAGGUGGGCGGAAUUUAUGGUGUAGCGGUGAAAUGCAUAGAUACCAUAAAGAACACCAAUUGCGUAGGCAGCUCACUAGACCAUUACUGACGCUGAGGCACGAAAGCGUGGGGAGCGAACAGGAUUAGAUACCCUGGUAGUCCACGCCGUAAACUAUGAAUACUCGAUGUCUGCGAUAUACUGUAGGCGUCCAAGCGAAAGCAUUAAGUAUUCCACCUGGGGAGUACGCUCGCAAGAGUG